rnacentral:tRNA from 1 species
UCCACUACUCACUUGGUAGAGUGCAAAGCUCUUAACCUUAUGGACGUGGGUUCAAGCCCCAUGGUGGAG